CGAAGAGAGAAAACUUUGCUUCUCUUCGUCUCUCUCAACACUCGGGUCGAUUCACACCAACACAGUCUCGGUCGCAGACAGAGGGGCGAACGAGCAGUUACGUUCGGGCAAUGAAAAUCAGUCCACUUUAGUCCAGCAACAAGAAAGGCCACAUGAAAAGCCCACGGCGGCCAGAGAAAGAUUAGAGUGCUUCAGUCCGGAAAAAGUGUGUGAUUAGUCAGGAAUCGUCGGAAAAGCACGGCCGUGGACCACGCGAGUUCGUUGCUGGUUCUGGGCUACAAAAACGGUGAAAGUUUUACGGGUCGGCAAAGAUUCCAUUUUCGAAAACCGAAAACCGUUAGUGUUACGUCAGAAGGGACGCCACUCGUCCGCCAUCUUUAAAAUCAGAACCCGCCGCAAAAUCUUCAGUCCAUCCAACUCGGCGUUUUUUUGGACCAGCCUGCAGUAAUUUCUGGAACUCAACAUCGCUAGUACUCUCCGUCGCAAUUGAUCAUCGGAGGUUGUCGACGACCGCCCGGCAGACGAGAACAAUAGACGAACGACUGGCACGCACGCUGAACAGCCGUAACAUAGAAGGCCAACCACAGAAACCUCCACGAACAUCAGUCGUGUGGAAAAACAAAGCCUUCCAUACGGAAGUAAGUCCCUGCCACCUGUGACAUCACCACCAGGACUAAUGGAUUUGGUGCCGCAGGGCUUUGUUUUAUAUUCACAGCCAUUCCAUCCACGGUGGGAGGCGCAUAGCGGUUCUAUUCGUGACGUGCAUCCGGUCGAGGCGGCAACUGCGGCAAACGGAGCCGAGGUAGCCAAUUAUCCGGAUUGGCGGCUCGAUCGAGGGAGUUUCGGGCGUUCCGAUCGCGGGCCAAAACCACAUCGCCCUGGAAAUCAGACACGGGCCGAGCCGAGCUGUGUAAUCAUCCGUGACGGAAGCGAAGUCCACCGGCGGAACGCUGGUGCAUCGGGAGAACGUGUAGGGAGGUGCCGUCAAUGAUGAUGGCCGCGAACGGAGCAGCAUUACGGUAGGGGGCGCCCCAAGUAGUGAGUACCAAAAUGUAAUUUAGUAUGUAAGCAGAAUACCAUAGAGAAAUCAGAACUAGGAGAAAGGAGUAGAGCAGGAUGAGAAUGGCCAAGGGCCGCAAGAUAGCUCGUAAAUAAACAUUAUACACCAUGA